AGGUUUGAAGUCUUGCCUUGUUCAUUUUCAAGAAAAUGUCUGCUAAAUCUGAAUAAGAUGUCCCUUAAAGUAAAAAUGGUGUUUCAAGAAAACAAAGUGAAUGCUAAUUCCCCUUCCCUGGAAUAAAAGGCCAUCCUUAAUGACUUGCUGCUAACAGUGCAUUAGAAGUGACACCACGUAGCCUGGAACUGUGAUUCUUCUACCUAUUCC